GAAGGUGGAGCAAGAGCAACCCCAGGGUGCCUGUGGCUAGCUAGGCUUCCAGUGAUACCCACUGACCCCCUGGAUGGCUGCUGUUGCCUUGUGCUGCAAGUAGCUUCUGUCAUUCACCCCAAAACUCUCCUGCUUGUGCCGGGCACAUGGAGCUGAAGAAGAACACCUGUGAUCACUCGGGAGUGCGAAAUUUGGCCUUCCAGGAGGAAGAACACGUCAAUAUUGAGAGUGAUGUGCAUGAAAACAAACCUGACUCAAGUCAUCUGCCUGAAAACAAACGUGACUCAGUAGAUGAUGAGCAACCACACUUGAAAGGGCGUUUCGAACAGAAAUAUGAUAAAGCUUGUGACUUUUACAAGAAACAUAAGACCACAUUUCACUAUGUGAUCUACGGGAUUUCAAUAACAGCGUACUUGAUAGUACUUAUCAUAGCCUGCAGCUUGAAUUUUCAGAGAGCCUUCCCACUCUUUAUCAUCACUCUCCUAGCCAUCUUCUUCCUCUGCUGGGAUUUUUUAAUAGCUAAGUAUGAAGACAGAAUUGCUGCAUUAUUUUCCCCUGGAAGAAGAUACCUGGAGGAACACUGGGUUUGGAUUAAAUGGGUGUUGUAUGCAGCUCUUGUUAUAACUAUCAUCUGCUGGCUCAUCUUUGACACAGCAAAACAGGGAUCCCAACAUCUGAUCUCCUUUUGUGGGCUUGUGUUGUAUGUUCUGCUGAUGUUUAUCUUUUCCAAAUAUCCAACCAAAGUUGCUUGGAGAACAGUAUUUUCAGGAAUAGGAAUACAACUUAUACUUGGGCUUCUUAUUCUGAGGACAGAAGUGGGGUUUGAUAUGUUUAACUGGCUAGGCAAUCAGAUUCAGACUUUCCUGGAGUACUCUGACGCAGGUGCUAAGUUUGUAUUUGGUGCGACUUAUACAGAUCAUUUCUUUGCUUUUAAGGUCCUGCCAAUUGUGGUUUUCUUCAGCACCGUAAUGUCUAUGCUUUAUCACAUUGGAUUCAUGCAGUGGGUCGUUGGAAAGGUUGGUUGGGUAAUGCAGAUUUUAAUGGUGACAACUCCUGUUGAGUCUCUGGUAGCUGCGGGUAACAUAUUUGUAGGACAGACAGAGUCUCCUCUCAUGGUACGGCCCUACUUACCAUACCUCACCAAAUCUGAACUGCACACAAUCAUGACAGCAGGAUUCGCAACUAUUGCUGGAAGUGUCUUGGGAGCAUAUAUUUCUUUUGGGGUUUCUGCCUCCCACCUACUGACUGCUUCUGUCAUGUCGGCACCAGCAGCGCUAGCCACCUCCAAACUAUUUUGGCCUGAAACUGAAAAGCCUGAAGUAACUCUGAAGGGUGGCCUAAAAAUAGUAAAAAGUGAAUCGAAGAACCUUCUGGAAGCAGCCAGUCAAGGUGCCUCUACUUCCAUCCCGCUGGUGGCGAACAUUGCUGUGAAUCUCAUCUCCUUCCUUGCCAUACUGGCUUUCAUUGACGCAGCCCUCUCUUGGGUGGGCAGUCUGUUUGACUAUCCAGAGCUGAACUUUGAGAACAUUUGUGCUUAUGUCUUCAUGCCAUUCUCUUUCAUGAUGGGGAUAGACUGGGAAGACAGUUUUAUUGUUGGUGGACUACUAGGCUACAAGACUUUCUUCAACGAAUUUGUGGCUUAUGAGCGCCUCUCAGAACUGAUUCACAAGCGAGAGAAGGGUGGGAGCAUGUACGUGAAUGGUGUGAAGCAGUAUAUGGCUGUUCGUUCUGAAGUCAUUGCCACCUAUGCUCUUUGUGGGUUUGCCAACUUCGCCUCCCUGGGACUCGUAAUAGGAGGCCUGACAAGCAUUGCUCCCUCAAAAAAAUCGGAGAUAGCUGGUGGCGCCUUCAGGGCAAUGAUUGCGGGGACCGCCGCCUGUUUCAUGACAGCCUGUAUUGCAGGAAUGCUGACUAGCCCUGGUCUGGAAGUUUCUUGCCACGGCUUAUUAGAAAACGUCUUCAACUCCACAGAUUUCCCUGCCAACAGCACAAGGCUGGUUCAAUGCUGCCAACAACUCUUUACCAGUGUAAAUGAUUCGCAGAGUAUCUUCCCUGGACGAAACUACAGCCUGAGUUCCUGGAAAGGAUGUUGCCAAAUGCUGGCUAAACCUGCUUUGCACUGCGCUUGGAUUAAGCCUUAAUUUUGGGGAGGAGAUAGAUCAUAUAUGAGAGUCAUGUUUGUUGGUGGAAAGGACUCCUCUAUAGCAGGAUUCCGUGGAGGGCAAUGUUAGUGGAGAAUAUGCGACAUUGCUCUAGCUACACCUGGUCAAAGAGAUUGCCCACCUGAUUUGCCGAUGGCUCAAUCAAAAGGUGAUAUAUAUGGCAUGUUGUAUCCUAAACGUAGCAAAAAAAGCAGUGAAGGCAGGAGGGGAUUGCUAACAAGUACCAUCAUGCCUUCAGGGGACUAUUUACCUUCUGUCCGUGUGGUGGUGCUUGAAGUUCAGUCUAGAGGUCUUUGCAUCUCUUUACACGAAGAGGGAACUGUGCAUUUCACCCCUGGCAGUUCACUUGUAAACUUGGACCCUAACUUGGACCCUAAACUAUCAGUGCUCGGGAGCACAUUUCCGACAACAAGAUUGCCAGCAACAGUAAACCUGCAACA